rnacentral:rRNA from 1 species
UACAGAGGGGGCAAGCGUUGUUCGGAAUUACUGGGCGUAAAGGGCGCGUAGGCGGCCUGCUAAGUCGGACGUGAAAUCCCCGGGCUCAACCCGGGAACUGCGUCCGAGACUGGUUGGCUUGAAUCCGGGAGAGGGAUGCGGAAUUCCAGGUGCAGCGGUGAAAUGCGUAGAUAUCUGGAGGAACACCGGUGGCGAAGGCGGCAUCCUGGACCGGCAUUGACGCUGAGGCGCGAAAGCCAGGGGAGCAAACGGG